AAACAUCGCCUCCUGCAACAUAUAGGAGGUCCAGCCUGCCCAGUGACCAAGUUAAACGGCCGCGGUACCCUAACCGUGCGAAGGUAGCGCAAUCACUUGUUCUUUAAAUGAGGACUAGUAUGAACGGCAUCACGAGGGUUACACUGUCUCCCACCUCCAAUCAGUGAAACUGAUCCCCCCGUGAAGAAGCGGGGAUAAAAUUAUAAGACGAGAAGACCCCAUGGAGCUUUAAACUCAGCACCAACCACCUACAACCACAUCAUCUUAAACAAGUGGCCCUGACUGCUAGUUUUAGGUUGGGGUGACCGCGGAGCAAAACAAAACCUCCACGAUGAACGACCUCCUCUCUAAUCCGAGAGUCACCACUCAAAGAAUCAAAAAAUUGACACACAUUGACCCAAACUAUUUUGAUCAACGAACCAAGUUACCCUGGGGAUAACAGCGCAAUCCAUUUCAAGAGCUCCUAUCGACAAAUGGGUUUACGACCUCGAUGUUGGAUCAGGGUAUCCCAGUGGUGCAGCCGCUACUAAAGGUUCGUUUGUUCAACGAUUAAAACCCUACGUGAUCUGA
rnacentral:rRNA from 1 species